UACAGAGGGGGUAAGCGUUAUUCGGAAUUAUUGGGCGUAAAGGGCGCGUAGGCGGCCUGGCAAGUGGAAGGUGAAAUCCCUCGGCUUAACCGAGGAACUGCCCUCCAAACUGCUUGGCUUGAGUCCGGGAGAGGUGAGUGGAAUUCCCAGUGUAGCGGUGAAAUGCGCAGAUAUCGGGAGGAACACCAAUGGCGAAGGCAGCUCGCUGGGACGGUACUGACGCUGAGGACGCGAAAGCGUGGGGAGCAAACAGG
rnacentral:rRNA from 1 species